UGGUAUGCUGAUUAUGCUAAUUACAUUGUUGCUAAAUUUAUACCACCUAGUUUCACGUACCAACAAAAGAAAAAGUUUUUCUAUGAUUUAAGACAUUACUUCUGGGAUGACCCACACCUUUAUAAAGAAGGAGUAGACGGUGUCAUUAGACGUUGUGUACCUGAGCAUGAACAGGAACAGAUCCUACGCAAGUGUCACUCCGAGGCUUAUGGAGGACACCAUGCUGGAGAUAGAACUGCACAUAAGGUAUUGCAAUCCGGUUUUUAUUGGCCUACUCUCUUCAAGAUGCCCGUAAGUUUGUCUUGUCUUGUGAUGAAUGUCAAAGAAUUGGUAAUAUUAGCAGACAUCAAGAAAUGCCUAUGA
rnacentral:rRNA from 1 species